GGAGGUUGCUAUUUGUAUAUAUUCAUAUAUUUGCUAACCUGUAUUCUAUGUGUAUGUUGAUUUGCCAGUUUGACUGACCUCUUUCAUUUGGAAGGGGUUAUAGACAUGUAAUUGUACUGAGUGUGUUCAUUUUGUAUUCAGUUUGUAUCACACCCCAGUGGAGGUGAAUGUGUGUCUGCUUUACACGUCAGUGGAGGUGGAACAAGUUAUCUGUUUGGACUUCAAUGGAUGCAUGGAUGCUUAUGGACUUCAGUGUGAGAUCAAGCUUUGAAAAUCAUUCCCAAGGAUGAUAUCUCAGGAACACUGACUUCUGCCAAGCAAAGAGGCUAUAAAGAAAACAGAAGGCUAGGUCAUUUGUGAUGCAAUAUCUCUCGGCACUUUGGAAAGUGGAUGCAAUGUCUUAAAGUUAUGACCUAGCACCUGAGAGAAGAACCACAUCAUGAUCAUUCUGAAUCCAUGCUCCAUGUGCUAUUUUACAGUCAGACCAGUUAUGUCAGAAUAAAUUGACUGAGUCCAAAAUUAUUGUUACAGUUUGUACUGAAAAGGUCAGAUAAAGGACCUCAUCAGACAAGGUAAAUUUAGUGCCCUAAGAUGCUUUCACCCCAUCUAGAGGAUGGAGCCCCAUGCCAGACAUCAUGUGACAUUGUGUGACUUCUGGUGGAGGCCCCAUCCCCAACCGGAGUGAAAGUGUUACAGGACACUUCUCCCCAACACGGGAGGUUUCCUGUGUUGUUCUGGUUCCAAUGGAAGGACAAUGCUUUCCCCAUGUGAUGGGAAAAACUUUGCAGAGAUGGAGCUGCACGCAGGGCGACAAAUUUGCCCUGCUGCCCCUCUCUUUUCUCCUGGAUGCCAGAUGAAGCGGAAUGCUUCACUUGACCUUUGUGAUGAGGCCCUUACAUCUAUGGUUCAACAUAAGAGGUUUUUUAACCUUGUAUUUUGUUUACAAUAAAAAGACGGAAUCUGAAAAACUGAGCAUUCUAUACAUAGAAUAAAAAUAAUUAAGCAGUCAUGGAACAAUGUAUUAUAUAUUGUGCAUGUAUUACUGAUACAGAACACAGACUUUUUGCAAUAAAAAAUCACUGUAAAAAUCCUCACCCAUCCCUGUUUCUUCAACAUGAAUAAAAAAAAAUCUGAAUUUGGCUUUAACAUCAAAUAUUUUGGAAUUGAUUUUUUUGUCCCAUAUGAAACCAACAAUGAAUUUAGAGACUUGCUUACCUCCAUGAGAAAUGACCUUUUUAUAUGGUUCAAUCGCUUUCAUAUCAAUCCUUUGUUCCUGGUCUCCAAUGACAACUGUUCUCCACAACUUGUUGUCCUCUCUCUCUUCUUCUGCAGUAUACUCUGGGAUUGAAUCAGAUGCGUCCUGAGAAAUUUCCUUAGAGACUGGCUGCUCCUCUGAAGAAAUAAAAAGAAAAGAUUGAAGCAACAACUUUCUCCAGAGAAUUAGCAUUGCUCAGAUCUGCUCUAAACUACAAUUACUGUACAUCAUUUUGAGAUCAUUUCUGCCAUGAGCCUGACAGCAUGAUUCACAAGCUAUCCUCACUGAGGAAGACCACAAUAUGGUCCGGUAACAUUGAAGAUUAACAGACAGAUCAACACUUCCCCCUCUUUUUCCACUACUUUAAUACUGUACAUCUGUCACAGAGUUAAAGCAAAAAUUCAGGCUUUUUUAGGGGAACUCAUCCCAAAGAAAAAGUUCAAGGCUAAGUGUUCUUUGGCUUCAAUUUCCUCAUAUUCUAUUGUGUCACUGACUGUUAUUGUUUGCUUUUGCAUUGCCAGCAUAUCCAAAUGUCCUAGAAUGGCCUUACCUCUAAUGGAAGAUGUUUAUUAACAUUCUUAUGCAUAAAGUCCCUCACUCAUACUUA